rnacentral:rRNA from 1 species
ACGGCUGCCUCCUUGCGGUUGGCCCACCGGCUUCGGGUGUUAUCGGCUUUCAUGACGUGACGGGCGGUGUGUACAAGGCCCGGGAACAUAUUCACCGCAGUGUGCUGACCUGCGGUUACUAGCAACUCCGGCUUCAUGCAGGCGAGUUGCAGCCUGCAAUCCGAACUGAGACCGGCUUUAAGGGAUUAGCUCCACCUCGCGGUUUGGCAACCCGUUGUACCGGCCAUUGUAGCGUGUGUGUAGCCCAGGACGUAAGGGCCAUGCUGACUUGACGUCAUCCCCACCUUCCUCCGGUUUGCUGCCGGCAGUCUGGUCAGAAACAUCCGCAACUGACCACGGGGGUUGCGCUCGU